rnacentral:lncRNA from 1 species
GAGAACUCCAUGAAUAUUUUGUUCAGAAGAAUUGCAAAUUUCCAAAAAAAAAGGAAAUUUGUUUAUUAUCCCAUACUUGUUUCUCUCUUGUGAUGAAAUACUUAACUAUGGCGAGUCGAGCAAAAGGAAAGGAAACAACAUCUCACAGUCGUACUGUACUUUUCAUAUGUGAAAAUAUAUGUCAUUCAUAGGAAGUACACAGUAAAUGUGCAUUCUAGGGAUGACACGAUAGGAAAAGAAGUGGAAACCAUCUUAACAGAAAACCUAGCAUCUAUUGGCAACUCUCCUUUUCUUUCUGAAGACAUCUAAAACUGUUUCUUACUCUUCUUGGUGGAAACAUCCAAGGCCACCAAAGUCAACCUUGUGCGGAUCGAACUUCGCCAUUUUGUAUGAGACAAGCAGGCAGAGGUGAGGAAUGAUAUCUUGACACAGAGAUGAAAAGGAGAAAUACUUGAAUAAGUACAAAGAUAAGAUGUGUUAAACACCUAAUAUUACGCAUAUUGAGAAUUUGCAAAGAAGUAGCAGUAAUGGUAAAAUGAAAUUAGAAAACUUACAGAAUGAAAGCCCUUCGUGGAUGAAAUAAAGUUGUUUGAACAUAAUGGAAAAACAACAUUAAGUAUGUAUAUAAGGCUUUAGUAUAAAAAUUGCAGAAUAUUCAAAGAACUCUCUCAAGCAAGAUCUACAGUUGAAUUCAAAGAAAGUUGUAUACAACAGGGACAUACUCUAGAGGAUGGGAUCAGAUAUAGUUAAACUUGUACGCACUAGAAAUAUUGUAUACUCCUUUAGAGAUAGUCUUAUCUUAAGUCUAGAUAAUGAAAGCACUUGUACGCACUAGAGUACACUGGAUACAUAAAGAACAUAAGGGCAUGUACAAUGGUUGAUAAGAUAGUCUUAUCUUAAGUCUUGCAUGUAAUUUAGAGAUGAUAAAAAAAUUGUCUACAAUGGAUCAUCUCUUAGCCUUAUCUUAAAUAACUAGUUAUUCCUAAAAACAUGGUGAGACAUAUUGUGCUAAGAGAUCAUCUCUUGUCUUCUCUUAAAUAAGAGAAGACAAACCUUUUUUUAUGAGUUCUCUCUCCUCCAUCUCAUCAUUUAUCUUAUGUGGCAAUCAUAAGAUAGCAUCAUUGUACAUGCCCUAAGUGGCAGAUUUUUUAGAGAACAAACUAUAGAGAAACAAAUCAACUCUAGGUAAGUUAUAUCCAGAACAAAUCAUGUACAGGACAUAGGGAGUAAAGACUUACAAAAAUUAGCGAUAAGCACCCACCAACCCAGAUAGGAUCAUUUAAAAUUGGUUUCAACUUUUCUCGAAUAGGUUGGUGUGAAAAAAUUGCAUUUUCUUGGUACAACUGGGAAGAAAUACAAGUGCACAAAUUCAUUGGGGCUAUCUAUGGAUCUUGCCAAAAUAUACUGGCCACUAUGAUUAACUGUCAUUUAUGUGUAAAUUUGCAAAGAAGAGCUAGCAUUCUUUUUAUGCCGAUCAUUCAAAAAAAUUGACGGUAUGAUUUAUGUUAAUUUGUACUAGACUGUUUAGUUCAACAGAUUUAAGGGGAGCAAAACAUUUAUGAGGAUAAUUCAACUCCUCAUAAGUUACGUUGGGAAGAAAUACGGGUGCACACAUCCAUAGUAUGUACUGUUGAAAAUGAGACAAGUAGCUUCAGCCAGGUACUAGCUACCACUAUGACACAAUUCUACAAGAACACAACUGCUAAUUUGCAACUGACACUAUUACAAAUCAUAUUCCUUUUCCCCAUAAACAAAACAGAAUUGAUAAAAUACCGAACAAUACAACAUAUGAGUAAGUUCAGCCCUAAAAUAUGAGCUAAGGAUAAAGAGAUAGUGUUGCAACAUUUUACCUUCACCCUGUAGGAUUCAAAAUAAAACCUCUUGUCUGCUAGAUCUGAACCGGGCCUGUACACAUGAAGAAAAACGUCACAAAAUAGAUGGAUUGGCACGGGGAGGAACCUCAAAAAUGAGGGGAAGCAUGGAACUAGAGGGGCGCCAACGGAUCUGACCAACCUAUAGAAACUAUAAUGUUUG